GACGACGCCAAAAAAUAAGGGCAACACCAAGCGAAGCCCGGCCAAGCAAUUUUUUUUGUUCUCCUUUCCGUUUCGCAGCGCAGCAGGAUCCACUAGGACCACUAGAUGCAGUGGAGCAUCGAGCCAUUUCCGGGGGUGAGUUGAGGUGAGCAGAACCGAGCUACCUGGUGGAGGCUGGCACCUAGCUAAUCCACAGGAGGAAGAGAGGAGAACGGGAGCCUUUUUGAUGACAAGAACGGAGGCGUCAGGCGUGUGAUUAACAGUGAGCUGCUUGCUACCUAACUAUCAAUCUCUUUCGCUGCUUGCUUUCCAUUGAAAAUGAUGUGUUCUCCCACACCCUGCAACCUGAAGGCAACAUGCCUAGCACAAAAUUCUCCCAAGGAUUCCCAUGGUUUCCUAGCCCAAGAUGUGCAUGGAGCCUUGCUUCUUGAUCUCCAGCAGAACAGAAGUGAAGCACUGUGGCCUUGCAUGCCCAAGUUUUGUUGUUAGCGUUACCAAGAUCAUAGCUACCACUGAUGCAGUGCGUUCGCGAUGAACUGUGUAGAGCAGGUUCUGAAGAGAGUGUUACCUGCAUCUGCAUGGAAGAGGGAGGAGACCCGCAGCUUCCGAGCAUCUCCGUGGCACGCACCACGUCCGAAGGCGCGGGGGCCGUCGACUUGGAUCUCCUUGAGCAGCUACUGUCCGGCGACAACGGUUGGCUCGAGGUGGUCUCGCGCUCGCCCAACUCGGUAGCGUUUCCUCCACCCUCGGCCUUCUUCUCGGCUGACGCGACGGCCACCACAGUGACGACGACGGCGGCGCCGGCCGCGAACGCCAGCUGGUUGAUUCAGACGGGCGGCGCGAGCACCCCCUCCGUGCGGGAGCGGUUCAGCCAGGCCCUGUCCUACAUCCGUGAUACGCAGAGCGACGGCGACGUCCUCGUGCAGCUCUGGGUGCCGGUCAACCGCGAUGACGGGAAGCUGGUGCUGACCACCAGCGGUCAGCCGUUCACGCUCGACCACCGCUCCGACAGCCUCAUCCGGUUCAGGGAGGUGUCCACCAAGUACCAGUUCCCAGCCGACGUUAGGUCAGGGGAGUCACCAGGGUUGCCAGGGAGGGUCUUCAUCGGCAGGCUCCCUGAGUGGUCGCCGGACAUCAGGUGCUUCACCAGCUACGAGUACGCCAGGGUGACAGAUGCAAAGUACCUCGAUGUCCACGGCACCAUGGGGCUGCCAGUGUUCGAGAAAAGAAGUUACAGUUGCCUGGGCGUUAUCGAGCUGAUCAUGACAAAGCAGAAGCUCAACUUCACCUCUGAGCUCAACACCAUCUGCAGUGCUCUACAGGCAGUUAAUCUCAGAAGUACAGAAGUUUCGAGCAUUCCACGCAAAAAGUUUAGCACUGCUUCCUACAAAGAUGCUUUACCAGAGAUACUGGAGGUCCUGAGGGCAGCCUGCUUGACCCACAAGCUGCCAUUAGCUCAGACAUGGGUCACAUGUACUCAACAAGGGAAACGAGGCAGCCGACAUUCUGACGAGAACUACAGGUACUGCAUUUCCACCAUCGACGAAGCAUGCUUUGUGAAUGAAGCCGAGAUGCGGGGCUUCCAUGAGGCCUGCUCCGAACACCAUCUGCUGCGUGGCGAGGGGGUGGCAGGGAAGGCCCUCACGACAAACCAGCCAUGCUUCCUGCCGGACAUUGGAUCCUCAACUAAAUUGGAAUACCCCUUGUCUCACCAUGCUAAGAUCUUCAGGUUAAAAGGUGCAGUGGCGAUCCGACUGCGGUGCACACGCACUGGGAUAGCAGACUUCGUGCUGGAAUUCUUUCUUCCAACAGAUUGUGAAGCACUGGAGGAGCAGAAGACAGUGCUGGACUCCUUGUCAGGCACCAUGCGAAGUGUUUGCCAGACCCUACGUGUGGUCACAGAUAGAGAGAUGGAAGGCGAAGCGGCGCUGGAAAUGAACGAGCUGAACUCUUUUACUCCUCCUGAGAAGGACAAAGAUGAGUUGUCCUUUGGAGGCAAUUCAGCAGAUCGUAGAGGGGCCUCUUGGACAAGUCUGGCAGGAACUUCACAGCAAGAACCCGAGUUAGCUGCAUUGCGGAUGCAUGGAACGUUCUCACCUGUGGGGCAGGGUCCAUCUCUAUCUGGUGUUCAGGCAACUGCUGAAGGCAGUAAGACAAAAAGGCGCACAAAGGCCGAGAAGACCGUUAGUUUGCAGGUUCUUCGGCAGUACUUCGCUGGUAGCCUCAAAGAUGCAGCGAGAAGCCUUGGAGUGUGUCCCACGACCCUCAAAAGAAUAUGCAGGCAACAUGGUAUAACCCGCUGGCCAUCACGAAAGAUCAAGAAGGUAGACCACUCUCUAAGAAAGCUCCAACAGAUCAUUGAUUCGGUUCAUGGUGCAGAGACAGCUUUCCAGCUAAACACCCUGUACAAGGAUCUCACAGACACCUCAAUAUCAUCUGACAACAAUUUGUCAGGAAGUGUCACGGUUCCUCCAACUAACCAGAGCAAUCUCACCGACUUCAACAAGCACCAACCCCACAAGUCAAGUAGCAAUAUGCCAUCAACUUCACACUCACACUCCUCAUGCAGCCACGGUUCUCAGUCAAGCCCCUCGUGUAGCGUUGGUGCAACAGAACAUGCACAACAGGGUAUAAUUGAUCUGAUGAAGUCAGAAAAUCCUGUGAAAGACAGCUCUAUUCAGACUAUGCAAACAGAAAACACUUCAUUAUAUGAGCAUUUCUCAGUUCAUGAGGCUCCAAUUGAUCUUCUACAGGAUGUUACUGAAAAGGCUAAUGGUGCACAUCAUUCUUCUCGAAGCCUGUCAUCCCCCAACCCCAAGCAGAACACAGAUGCAAAUAUGAGAGUAAAGGCAACAUUUGGCUCAGAAAAGGUGAGAUUCCGACUAAACCCAGAGUGCAAUUUUCAAGGACUGAAGCAUGAGCUAGCGAAACGUUUGAGUAUAGUAGACACAAACCCCUUGGUUUUAAAGUACUUGGAUGAUGAUUCAGAAUGGGUCUUGAUGACAUGUGAUGCAGAUCUGCAGGAGUGCCUUCAUGUAUACAAACUAGCAGAUAUCCAAACAAUCAAAAUUUCAGUUCAUUUAGCUGUUAGUCCAGCUACAAGGGUCACAGCUGGUCACACUGGUUUGUCAUGACAACAGUAUGAGCCUCACCACUUUGUGAGGUUUAAUCAAAUUCAACCAGGAUCACAUGGUUUUGUGCAGGGGAAACCAAAGAUUCCAGGAGUCCAGGGUUGGUAGCUGUGCAAUACUGCAAUGUACUAUGUACCACCACGUCCCAGUUCUACUGUUAGAUCAAUUAGUCUUGUUUCUGAUGCUCAGGUUAGGAACUAAUGAUCAAACAAGAAUACUUGACAAUGAGAGAGUCAAGAAAUCAGGAUAAACAGAAGGUGACGUAUCUACAAAUCAGAUUUGCUCCAACUCCAAGUAUGUUUUGUUUCUUUGAGUGCUGAUGUGCAACAAUCAUUGAUGGCUUCUUUCUGAUAAUUGAUCAGCUACAAUUGUCCCUUAAGAUCACAGCAUUCCUUCAUCGCCUGAGCGAUCAGCAUGCUCUGUUCAAUGCACAUGAAAUUCUGCUUCUGAAAUUGUAAUUUUCUGCAGCAAGGAUUAGAUCUAGAAUAGGAUGAUAGGAUACUUAGUUUGUUCAAUAUGUUUGUCCAUUGCAAAAAAAAAUAAAAAAUGAAUGGUACACUGAAUUAUGGGCCUCUUUGAAAGAACGUCUGCUGCUGUAGACAUUAUAGAUUGUUUUCCUUUAAGAAGCUUCCAUUUGUGAA